UACGAGGGGAGCAAGCGUUGUUCGGAUUUACUGGGCGUAAAGGGCGCGUAGGCGGCGUGACAAGUCACUUGUGAAAUCUCCGGGCUUAACUCGGAACGGUCAAGUGAAACUGUCGUGCUAGAGUACAGAAGGGGCAACUGGAAUUCUCGGUGUAGCGGUGAAAUGCGUAGAUAUCGAGAGGAACACCUGCGGCGAAGGCGGGUUGCUGGGCUGACACUGACGCUGAACUGCGAAAGCUAGGGGAGCGAACGGG
rnacentral:rRNA from 1 species